CGCGUAGGCGGCAGUGUAAGUCAGAUGUGAAAUACUCCGGCUCAACCAGAGAACAGCAUCUGAAACUGCACAGCUAGAGUACAGAAGAGGGAAACGGAAUUCCCGGUGUAGAGGUGAAAUUCGUAGAUAUCGGGAGGAACACCAGUGGCGAAGGCGGUUUCCUGGUCUGAUACUGACGCUGAGGCGCGAAAGCGUGGGGAGCAAACAG
rnacentral:rRNA from 1 species